rnacentral:rRNA from 1 species
UACGAAGGGGGGCUAGCGUUGUUCGGAAUUACUGGGCGUAAAGCGAACGUAGGCGGUGUUCCAUGUCAGAGGUGAAAGCCUGGGGCUCAACUCCAGAAUUGCCUUUGAAACGGGGACGCUUGAGUCCGAGAGAGGAUGGCGGAAUUCCUAGUGUAGAGGUGAAAUUCGUAGAUAUUAGGAAGAACACCAGUGGCGAAGGCGGCCAUCUGGCUCGGUACUGACGCUCAGGUUCGAAAGCGUGGGGAGCAAACAGG